AGCAGCCGCGGUAAUUCCAGCUCCAAUAGCGUAUAUUAAAGUUGUUGCAGUUAAAAAGCUCGUAGUUGAAUUUCGGGGUUAAUAAGUUGGUCGUACCUAUGGUAUGUACUGGCUUUAUUGAUUCCUACCUCUUGACGAACUGUGAUGCCAUUAAUUUGGUGUUGCAAGGAAUCAGGACUGUUACCUUGAAAAAAUUAGAGUGUUUAAAGCAGGCUUACGCUUGAAUACAUUAGCAUGGAAUAAUGAAAUAGGACGUUUGAACCUAUUUUGUUGGUUUCUGGGAUCGACGUAAUGAUUAAUAGGGAUAGUUGGGGGCAUUAGUAUUCAAUUGUCAGAGGUGAAAUUCUUGGAUUUAUUGAAGACUAACUACUGCGAAAGCAUUUGCCAAGGAUGUUUUCAUUAAUCAAGAACGAAAGUUAGGGGAUCGAAGACGAUCAGAUACCGUCGUAGUCUUAACCAUAAACUAUGCCGACUAGGGAUCGGAUGAUGUUAAUUUUUAAUGACUCAUUCGGCGCCUUAC
rnacentral:rRNA from 1 species